rnacentral:rRNA from 1 species
AUUGAACGCUGGCGGCAGGCUUAACACAUGCAAGUCGAGCGGGGUGAUGGUGCUUGCACUAUCACUUAGCGGCGGACGGGUGAGUAAUGCUUAGGAAUCUGCCUAUUAGUGGGGGACAACAUCUCGAAAGGGAUGCUAAUACCGCAUACGUCCUACGGGAGAAAGCAGGGGAUCACUUGUGACCUUGCGCUAAUAGAUGAGCAUAAGUCGGAUUAGCUAGUUGGGGGGGUAAAGGCCUACCAAGGCGACGAUCUGUAGCGGGUCUGAGAGGAUGAUCCGCCACACUGGGACUGAGACACGGCCCAGACUCCUACGGGAGGCAGCAGUGGGGAAUAUUGGACAAUGGGGGGAACCCUGAUCCAGCCAUGCCGCGUGUGUGAAGAAGGCCUUAUGGUUGUAAAGCACUUUAAGCGAGGAGGAGGCUCUUUUGGUUAAUACCCAAGAUGAGUGGACGUUACUCGCAGAAUAAGCACCGGCUAACUCUGUGCCAGCCGCCGCAGUAA